GUGCCUGCUCCACCUCAGCUGGUACAGGAUAAUCAGGGCCCCAACGGUGAAGGUGUUGGCCUCUGACGACAGUAUGGUGAUCCUUCCACUUUAUGUUGAGGAUCUUCCAGAGAAAGUGCUGGUGUUUGAGCUCGGACACCUCAACGGAAGUAAACUGACUCCUGCCAACUGGACUGAUUUUGCUGAUAAAGGACUCUUCAAGAGCAAGUGCAAAACUUGCAAGGCCCUGUACUAUCCACCUCUGCAGGAAAGAGGACAUACCAUUUCUGCAGAUGGCAGGCUACGCCCCACAGAAGCAUGGCUAAUACAACUUUCAACUCCUGGCAAAUGCCACGCUGCUGGAGGACAGAAUAUUUAUCCCAUGUGCGUUAACAGAAAUCUGACUGUGUGU